AUCAGCUUUCAAGUCAACCAGAUCAGUAACCUCUCACAUAUCAUAAAAAAACAUGAUGUCAGUCUUUUAAAAGUCUAUUCUAACAUCAAAAACAUUAGUUUAC